AGCAGAUGACAAUUUUACCCCC
rnacentral:sRNA from 1 species